rnacentral:rRNA from 1 species
GACGGAGGGUGCUAGCGUUGUUCGGAAUCACUGGGCGUAAAGGGCGCGUAGGCGGCGAUGGCAGUCGGGUGUGAAAGCCCGGAGCUCAACUCCGGAAUGGCACUCGAGACGCCAUGGCUGGAGGCCGGAAGAGGAGGGUGGAAUACCCAGUGUAGAGGUGAAAUUCGUAGAUAUUGGGUGGAACACCGGUGGCGAAAGCGGCUCUCUGGUCCGGACCUGACGCUGAGGAGCGAAAGCGUGGGGAGCAAACAGG